GAUGAACGCUGGCGACGUGCCUAAUACAUGCAAGUCGAGCGAACGGACGAGAAGCUUGCUUUUCUGAUGUUAGCGGCGGACGGGUGAGUAACACGUGGAUAACCUACCUAUAAGACUGGGAUAACUUCGGGAAACCGGAGCUAAUACCGGAUAAUAUUUUGAACCGCAUGGUUCAAAAGUGAAAGACGGUCUUGCUGUCACUUAUAGAUGGAUCCGCGCUGCAUUGGCUAGUUGGUAAGGUAACGGCUUACCAAGGCAACGAUGCAUAGCCGACCUGAGAGGGUGAUCGGCCACACUGGAACUGAGACACGGUCCAGACUCCUACGGGAGGCAGCAGUAGGGAAUCUUCCGCAAUGGGCGAAAGCCUGACGGAGCAACGCCGCGUGAGUGAUGAAGGUCUUCGGAUCGUAAAACUCUGUUAUUAGGGAAGAACAUAUGUGUAAGUAACUGUGCACAUCUUGACGGUACCUAAUCAGAAAGCCACGGCUAACUACGUG
rnacentral:rRNA from 1 species